GGCGUCGUCCCCAGCUGCCGGCCACGGUUUCGUGUGUCAGUGCGGCUGCGGCACGCCAUCCAUCCGCAUUCUCCCGGCGCUGCUCUUCAUUGCGUGGCGUCGUGGGGCGGAUCUUUUACUUUGAAAAAAUUAGAGUGUUUCAAGCAGGCUUAAUGCUAUGAAUACAUUAGCAUGGAAUAAUAAUUUAGGACUUCGGUUCUAUUUUGUUGGUUUCGCGAACUGAAGUA
rnacentral:rRNA from 1 species